rnacentral:rRNA from 1 species
CCUGGCUCAGGACGAACGCUGGCGGCGUGCCUAAUACAUGCAAGUAGAACGCACAGUAUAUACCGUAGCUUGCUACACCAUAGACUGUGAGUUGCGAACGGGUGAGUAACGCGUAGGUAACCUGCCUGGUAGCGGGGGAUAACUAUUGGAAACGAUAGCUAAUACCGCAUAAUAUUAAUUAUUGCAUGAUAAUUGAUUGAAAGGUGCAAUUGCACCACUACCAGAUGGACCUGCGUUGUAUUAGCUAGUAGGUGAGGUAACGGCUCACCUAGGCGACAAUACAUAGCCGCCCUGCGAGGGUGAUCGGCCCCACUUGGCCUGAGACACGACCCAGGCUCCUACGG